GGCAUGUCCAUCUAAAUACCAAGACCAGAUUUGUCUGCAGGAUCAACCAUCUGAAGAUUAGUGGUGUUCCUAGAAGACUCAAGUGGCACCAACAGAUCGGAAGCAUGAUAUCGGAAUUCAGGAUUUAUGUCCAAGAGGCAAUAGAACGGUACGAACGGUACGAUCUCCACAGUUGCACCUAUAGACAAAGAUAUGCGUCCGUUAGCUAUGUUCUAUCAACACCCUAUGAACAAACUGCUGACCUAGUCAUUGAUGGGCGGACGAGCAAGUUUAUCAAAUGGCUGGCCAAUGAUGGGGAUCCAAAGCUCAAGAUGGUAUCUAUUGUCGGAUGUGGUGGUAUUGGUAAAACUACACUUGCCAAGCUUUUCUACAACAAAUUUGGUGGACGAUUCGACUGUAGAGCUUUCAUCCAGGUUCCCCAAAAGCCUAAUAUGAAAAGGCUCUUCUGCGACAUAAUCUCCCAGGUCCAGCAAAAUAACCCCCACGAAGAUUGUAAGGAGCUUGAACUUAUUGAUAAUAUCAGGAGACAUCUACAAGAUAAAAGGUGCUGCUAUUUUCUGAAAUAAAUAUUAUUUCUUAUGUCCAAAAUUAAAUAAAAGCUUGCUCAGAAGUUAAUAUUAGAACUUACACACAAGGUACAGCAGAUCUUCUGGUCACUCAGUAAGCUAGUCUGCUCUCAUUAUAUUUCACAAACUUGAUGUAGGUGUUAUAGGCAUUUUUGACUGAAACACCAUAGAAGUGAAUAUUGGAUCAUACAAUUUAGGCACACAAAAAUACUACCUGCUAUUACAUUUAUUGAUAGUCAACAACAUUCUAGUUGCACAUUCUUUUACUCACAAGUUAGAACAUGUUUAUUAUCCUUCUUCCAGUAAAACUUGUUCCUUAAAAUCUAUUAUAUCAUUAAAACAAGCUUGAAAGAAGGCACUACGUUCAUUGUAGAGACUAGAAAUUCCCACAUUAAUCAUAAAAAAAGAAAAACAUUUUACCAUUAGAUCAUGGUGGGUCCAGAUUAUAACAGCAUAGAUUGAUUGAUAUAUUUGUAUAUAAAAUACAGUUAUAAUAGAAGUUAAGUGUUGUAUAUGAAAUCUAAGACUAUAGAAUAGAAUCUAAAAUUUAUAUGUGAAAUCCAUACCUUAUAGAAAUAGGACCUAAGAGUUGUAUAUGAAAUCUAAAUAUACUUCUAUAUAUAAUGAUUUUUUUAUAAAAAUAAAAUUUCAGAUCUAUAUAUUAAAUCUUACACUACAUGAAUUAUCUAGCUUCACGCAAAACUACGCGGGAAGGAAUACAAUUUAGAAAUAAACUGAAAUUUGGAAUAAAAUGUUGAGAGAAAGUCUAUCUAGGACACGGUAUGAGUUUAAUUAAAAUUCAAAAUAAAAAAGUUCAGAAAUUGGAAAAGGAAAUAAGACAGUUCACGUAGGAUUACAAUUUAGAAAUAAACUGAAAUAUAUAAUAAAAAUCACACAUUAAUCAGAGAAAAAGAAGAAAGAGGGUAGAACUAGGAAUAUAAUUUAGAAAUAAACUAAAAAUUCGAAAUAAAAAAUAAAAAUAUUGAAAGAAGAGUCCAUCAAGAACAUAGUAAGAGAUUAAUUAAAAUAAUAAAUAGACUAAUUGCAGAAAUUGGAAAAGAAAAAAAAAAGAGUUCACAUAUGAUUACAAUUUAGGAAUAAAAUAAAAUAUAAUAAGAAUAAAAAAAUAAGAAAUAUUGUAAUAAGAGUCUAUUCACAACAGAGUUCAUGUUGAAUUAUAAUUUAGAAAUAAACUAAAAUUCAUAAUAAAAAAGAGAAAUAUUGAAAUAAGAGUCCUCCUAGGACGCAAUACAAGAUCCAUUAAAAUUCGAAAUACGAAAUAAAAUAAAUUCUGAAAUAGAAAUAGAAAAAUAAGGGUUCAAGUAGGAAUACAAUUUAGAAAUAACUAAAAUUUGGAAUAAAAAUAAUAAAAGGAAUAUGGAAAGUAGAGAACACAAGACGAGAUUAAUUAAAAUUUAGAAUAAAUAUGAAAUAAAUUAUGAAAUUGGAAGAACAAAAAUAGAAUAAAAUAUGAAAUAAAUUCAGAAUUUAGAAAAUAAAAAUAAUAGUUCAAAUCAGAAUAUAAUUUAGAAAUAAGCAAAAUUUAGAAUAAAAAGAAGGAAUAUUAAAAGAACAGUUAGUGCAAAACACGAUACAAGUUUAAUUAAAAUUUAGAAUAAAAAAUAAAAUAAUUUGGGAAUUAGAAAAAGAAAAACAACCAAAAUUCGAACUAAAAAUAAGAAAUAUUAGGAAUGUUGUAAGAACAAUCCAUCUAGAAUACAAGAAUUACAUAUAAUAAUUGGAAAGGUAGCGGGCGAACAGUAAAGGAGUAGUGUGCUGGUGAUUGAUAAAACUCCUGAAACUAUGAAACAGAACUAUUGACGAUUGCUUCAACUAUUAGAAUCUCAACAAUGAUUAAGAGGGUGGACAAGAACUAGGCUAUGCAGGAGUAGGGUCGUGACGGUUCACAUGCUUCUACAAAGUAAAAAAGAGAACACCGGCAAGGAUCAUAUUUGAUUUUUAAAACCCAAUGACAAUAAAUAGGAGGGUGAUGGGUGGCAUUUGACGAAACUUCUAUAAACUAAAUAUAAGGUCUGAUUUUUAAAGAUCCCAUGAGGAAUGAAUAGAAACAUUGCAUGUCGCAAAUAAAGGGCGACAAAGUAGCAAGCAAGGACAAAUGGUGUGACUUUUAACAAUUAUAAAAUUGAGAACUAAUGGCGAAAAGGUUUGAUUUUUUAAAAAUCCUAGGACAAUGAGAUGAUUAUAGACUAUUUAAAAAGUUUAAGAAAAUUAUGUGUAAAAGAGUUUACUCCGAUUUUAUAUGGUGCUAGCCACACAAUUAUGCGGGCCACCCAGCUAGUUUAUUUUAGUUUAGCUCCCUUCUGAUCAAUUUUAAUAGUAGCCUAGCAAAAUGUAUUUAAUAUGCAUAUAUUAUUGGCAGGUAUUUAAUUAUCAUUGACAAUUUAUCGGCUGCUUCUGUGUGGGAUAUUCUAAAUCAAGCUUUUCCAGAGUGUACUCAGCGGAGCAGAAUUAUAACAACUACAAGAAUUAUAAGUGUUGCAUUAAAUUGUUGCCUUCAUCGUUCGGAGUAUAUUUUUGAGAUGAAACCUCUUGGAGAUGAUUGCUCAAGAAAACUAUUUUUUAAAGGACUUUUUGGCUCUGAAAGGGAUUGUCCUCAUAGAUUCAAAGAAGCUUCAAAUAAAAUUGUUCAAAUAUGUGGUGGUUUGCCACUAGCAAUAAUCAUCAUAGCUAGCCUUUUGGCAAGUCAGCCUGUUGUUUCAAUGCGGCUAUGGAUACACAUUUGCAAUUCUUUAAGACCAGAUUUGUGGACAGAUUCUACUUCAGAUGGAAUGAAACAAGUACUAAACCUCUGCUACAACAAUCUUCCUCAUUAUUUGAAGAAUUGCAUGCUCUAUCUUAAUAAAUAUCCUGAGGGCUACAAAAUCAGCAAGGAUGCUUUGGUGAAGGCAUGGGUGGCUGAAGGUUUUAUCAAUGUAACAAAGGACCUUGGCAUGGAGAAAGUUGCAGCAAGAUAUUUCGACGAACUUAUUGGUAGAAGAUUCAUCCAACCUAUUGAAAUCAACUACAAUGAUGAGGUGUCAUCCUGUACAGUUCAUGACUUGGUACGCGAUCUAAUUGCACAAAAGUCUGCAGAUGAGAAUUUCAUAGUGAUAAUAGAUGGUUAUCGAAAGAAUGUGGGGCUCAUUGAUAAGGUUCGACGACUUUCUGUUCAGUUUUUCUAUUCGAAAUAUACAAAGGUGCCAUCAAAUAUCAAAAGAUCACAAGUUCGUUCACUUACCUUUUUUGGACUGUUAAGGUGUAUGCCUUCUAUUACAGACUUUAAGCUUAUUCGUGUUUUAAACCUUCAAUUAGUUGGUCAUCUCGGUGAGAACACAUUAGACCUCACUGGGAUUUCUGUACUGUUUCAACUGAAAUAUUUGAAGAUUGUGUGCGAUAUCUGCAUUGAACUACCAAACCAAAUGCGAGGGCUACAACUCUUGGAAACAAUGGACAUGAAAACGAAACUCACUGCUGUUCCAUGGGAUGUUUUCCAUCUGCCAGGCUUGCUGCAUCUCUAUCUUCUCUUAGAGCCAAAUCUGCUGGACUGGAUUGGACAGAUGAAAUCUACCAUUACACUGGAUGCGAGCAGUAACUCAUCACAGGGCAAUCUGAACAACCUGCAGGAUAUUUGUCUCAGCUGUUGUGCAUUGCCUUCUGAACAUCUACAAAGAAACAUGGAAACACUGGGAUCUUUACUUGGGGCAGUCAGCAAUCUGAAAACACUCUCUAUAGUUUCUAGCAGUAAUCAAAAUGUUGAUAUGGUUUCCGGAACCUCAGAUGCAACUGUUGCUUGGGAUUUCUUGACACCUCCUCGUUUUCUGCAGAGAUUUGAGUGGCUUCUACAUGAUUGCAUCUUCUCCAAAAUUCCCGAAUGGAUUGGAGAACUUGACAACCUCUGCAUUUUAAAUAUUGCAGUAAGGGAACUUGUCAAGAAUGGCAUUAAUAUUCUCAGGGGAUUGCCUGCCCUCACUUCUCUGUCAUUGAAUGUGCAUACAACGUCCAUUGAAAAGGUCAUCUUUGACAAGGGGGGAUUCUCAGUUCUAAAGUACUUGGAGUUCAGAUGCAGUGCACCUUGGCUGAAAUUUGAGUCGGAUGCAUUGCCUAAUCUCAGGAAGCUCAAGUUAGUCUUUAAUUCCCUCUUUGAAAAUAUACAUGGCACUGCACCCAUCAGCAUCGAACACUUGUCAUGCCUCGAGGAGAUCUCUGCAAAAAUUAGGGGUGGGGGCAAUGUAGAGUUUCCAUUAACAUCUGCUAUUAGCAAUCAUCCAGGCAACCCUAGAAUCAAUUUUCAGUUGGUGGAUGGGGUUUUUUACGGCGAUGAAGACGAAGAACAUGCAACUCCAACUAUGGGAUUGGAAGGUCGAUGUUGGGAGACGGUGAGUGGCGAUAGUGACGGUGUGGGGAGGUGUCCGCAGCCCAACCAUGUGCUUGAGAAUGUACUGCUGGAAAGCAUUCUCCAGUUCCUCACAACGGCACGUGAUAGGAACAUGGCAUCGCUAGUCUGUCGCUACUGGUACCAUGCUGAGGCGGAGACACGGCAAGAGCUCUUCAUCAGAAACUGUUAUGCUGUUUCUCCGAAUCGUGUCAUUGAGCGUUUUCGUGGCCUGCGCUCCAUCACUCUGAAGGGCAGGCCAUGCUUCGCAGACUCCACUUUAGUGCCCAAAGGCUGGGGUGCAUACGCAUCGCCCUGGGUGGCUGCUUUGGGUCCCGCAUACCCGCACCUUAAGUGCAUCUUCCUCAAGCGGAUGACGGUAUCAGACAAUGACCUCAGGCUCAUCGCGCAGUCAUUCCCUCAGUUAAGGGAGCUCUCACUGAUGAGCUGCGACAAGUUCAGUGCCACCGGCCUCGCCAUAAUUGCGGAGCAGUGCAGGCAUCUCCAUGUGCUUGAUCUGAUUAAUGAUAAAGUCGAGGACACAGUGGACAAGCAGGUGGACUGGAUCUCUAUGUUUCCCAAGCCCAGCACGUCGCUGGAGUCUCUUCUGUUCAGCUGUGUUGACACGCCCUGCAACUUUGAGUCACUGGAGGCCCUUGUCGCGCGCUCACCAGGUCUGUGCCAGCUGGGUGUGAAUCGCCAUGUGACGGUAGAGCAGCUGUGCUGCCUCAUGGCAAUCGCUCCCAAUCUAACGCACCUUGGCACGGGUGUGUUCCGGUCCAAGACUGGCUACCCUGCAGGUGAGGCCCCUCCAUCGGUGUCUGAACUUGCGACAUACUUCGCAGCAUGCAGGUCACUCCACUCUCUCUCAGGUCUCCAGGACGCCAAUCCAGAUUACCUCCCUGCGAUCUACCCGGUUUGUGCCAAUCUCACAUCCCUCAACAUCAGCUCUGCCACCUUAACAGGGCAACAGCUUGCUCCCAUCAUUCGCUCCUGUGGCAAUCUCCGGACAUUCUGUGUGCGCGACUCCAUAGGUGAUGAUGGCCUUUCUGCCAUCGCUGAGACGUGCUUAGAUCUCCAGGAUUUACGAGUGUAUCGUUUGCUUCGUGGGAGUGAGCAUCAUCUCUCAGUAUCAGAUGUUGGGCUUGAAACUAUCUCGAAAGGCUGCCAAAAGCUUAAAACCCUAACAUACUAUUGUGGAAGCAUGACAAAUGCAGCAAUGGUCAUUAUGUCCAGCAACUGCCCUAAUCUUGAGGUCUUUCGCCUCAGCAUUUUGAAAACUUAUCUCCCUGAUCGGAUCACCGGGGAGCCAAUGGAUGAAGGUUUUGGAGCAAUUGUGAUGAAUUGCAAGAAGCUUUCCAGGCUUUCGACCUCUGGUCUGGUCACGGACAAGGCCUUCGCGUACAUUGGGCAAUAUGGGAAAUCGAUCAAAACUCUGUCUGUUGCCUUCUCUGGCAAUACUGACAUGUCACUCAGAUAUGUGUUUGAAGGAUGCACUCGGUUGCAGAAGCUUGAGGUCAGGGAAUGUCCUUUUGGUGACGAGGGAUUGCUCUCUGGUUUAAGCCACUUUUGGAAUAUGAGAUUCUUGUGGAUGAGCUCUUGCAGAGUAACCAUGACAGGCUGUAGAUACGUAGCUCAGCAAAUGCCAAAUUUGGUGGCUGAAGUGAUUAGUGGCCAUUCUGGUAAUGAAGAUGUGACUGCCGAUAAUGUUGACCAUCUGUAUUUAUAUCGAUCUCUUGCAGGACCAAGGGACGACGCCCCUUCAUUUGUCAAAAUCUUGUAGUGUGUACAACCUUUCGAAGAAGAACCUUACUUAGUCCAUCACCAUGUUAAGUCAUUCCAUUAUUAAUCAAAUUCCUCUUUGUGCAAUCAGGCUGUAGAUUGUGCUUGGUUGUGUUUUUUCUUUCUGUAGCAUAUAUGAUAACAGCAGGUUCUUCCGGUAUCUUGCGAGGUUGUAAAUAUUUACUCUAAUAAUGAUGUAAUCUCAAGCUGGUUAUAAGUACAGGUCAAUAAGGGUUGUUUAUGGUGCCAAAACAAAUCUUUCUUUCAGAGCUAGAGACAAUAUAUUCAUUUGAACAUUUUCAGAAUUCCAUAGCAAUGAUUCGUGAGUGAUUCAGUCAAAUAGAGGAAAUUCCUUUUUGCAUGAUCAGUGAUCCUUGGCUGCUGGGAAUGGGAUGUCCUAAAGAAGCAAUCACUGAACCACAGUUGUAUAAGCUAGGGAAUUCCAGUUUUAUACACACGCUCCCUUAUAAAAUGAUACUAAUUGCAACCUCCAUUCAUUUUCAGACGAAUAAUUUCGUUAUAAGGUAUCUAAUGCCAACGAAAAUUUUUGGGCAGGGUUCAAAGUCAGCAUCUAUUUAGAUGCGUCACAGAACUUGUCUGGUCUGGCAUACAGACAUUUGUUAUUGUUGAUAAAUAGCUUGAAUUUUUCUGUGCAAUAUUAUUGCACGGCUCUAUUUGAAGUAGAAUUGUAGCUUCUACAUAGUUUAUUCUUUCUUUCUCUAAAAAUAGAAUACACAAUACAAUUUAUUUUUUAAUGUAUAACACUAUACGAGCGGGUCCAAGCUAACUGAAUCAUCAUGCAACCGCUUCUGAAGUCUGAACAGGAGAUGUCAGUUGCUCACCAAAUCGAAGUACUUUGGGUUGGGGAAAAUUCAAAGGUUUCACUACCGAAUAAAGCCGAGCAAACAACUGGCCAUGAAAUCGAAGCACGCAACAGAUCAAGAAAAAUCGAUCAAAUGGUUGACUCGUAGAUUGGAGAUCAGGAGGGAGCGGUGCGGGAGGUCUCUGACCUUGCAAAUGCCGACGGAGAUGGCGCGGCGGCGGCUAAGGCUGCGGCUGCGCUAGGGCGGUGGGGAGGCCGCGCCGCGCGGGAUCACGACGCCGAUGCGCCGCCGCGGCCGCGGUGGCGAAAUCGCGUGGAGGUGUACUACUGGGCUAGGUUAGAGUCAAACCUGAAUGGGCCGAGCAGGCCCGCCUAGUGGCUGAAGUAAUGUUGCUAGUAUUCUUGGGAAGAGAUUUGAUAAUUUAACACUUUUUAAAAUGGG
rnacentral:lncRNA from 1 species